UUGACCUACGGGGGGCAGCCGUGGGGAAUAUUGGGCAAUGGGCGCAAGCCUGACCCAGCAACGCCGCGUGAAGGAAGAAGGCUUUCGGGUUGUAAACUUCUUUUGUCAGGGACGAAGCAAGUGACGGUACCUGACGAAUAAGCCACGGCUAACUACGUGCCAGCAGCCGCGGUAAUACGUAGGUGGCAAGCGUUAUCCGGAUUUAUUGGGUGUAAAGGGCGUGUAGGCGGGAAUGCAAGUCAGAUGUGAAAACUAUGGGCUCAACCCAUAGCCUGCCUUUGAAACUGUAUUUCUUGAGUACCUGG
rnacentral:rRNA from 1 species